rnacentral:rRNA from 1 species
UGGGGAAUAUUGCACAAUGGACGGAAGUCUGAUGCAGCAACGCCGCGUGCGGGAUGACGGCCUUCGGGUUGUAAACCGCUUUUUCUCAUGACGAAGUUUUUUGACGGUAGUGGGGGAAGAAGCACCGGCUAACUACGUGCCAGCAGCCGCGGUGAUACGUAGGGUGCGAGCGUUGUCCGGAAUUAUUGGGCGUAAAGAGCUUGUAGGCGGUUUGUCGCGUCGAUAGUGCAAACUCAGUGCUUAACGCUGAGCCUGCUGUUGAUACGGGCAGAAUAGAGGAAGGUAGGGGAGAAUGGAAUUCCCGGUGGAGCGGUGGAAUGCGCAGAUAUCGGGGGGAACACCGGUGGCGAAGGCGGUUCUCUGGGCCUUUCCUGACGCUGAGAAGCGAAAGCGUGGGGAGCGAACAGG